rnacentral:rRNA from 1 species
UCUGAUACUGGCAAGCUUGAGUCUCGUAGAGGGGGGUAGAAUUCCAGGUGUAGCGGUGAAAUGCGUAGAGAUCUGGAGGAAUACCGGUGGCGAAGGCGGCCCCCUGGACGAAGACUGACGCUCAGGUGCGAAAGCGUGGGGAGCAAACAGGAUUAGAUACCCUGGUAGUCCACGCCGUAAACGAUGUCGACUUGGAGGUUGUGCCCUUGAGGCGUGGCUUCCGGAGCUAACGCGUUAAGUCGACCGCCUGGGGAGUACGGCCGCAAGGUUAAAACUCAAAUGAAUUGACGGGGGCCCGCACAAGCGGUGGAGCAUGUGGUUUAAUUCGAUGCAACGCGAAGAACCUUACCUGGUCUUGACAUCCACGGAAGUUUUCAGAGAUGAGAAUGUGCCUUCGGGAACCGUGAGACAGGUGCUGCAUGGCUGUCGUCAGCUCGUGUUGUGAAAUGUUGGGUUAAGUCCCGCAACGAGCGCAACCCUUAUCCUUUGUUGCCAGCGGUCCGGCCGGGAACUCAAAGGAGACUGCCAGUGAUAAACUGGAGGAAGGUGGGGAUGACGUCAAGUCAUCAUGGCCCUUACGACCAGGGCUACACACGUGCUACAAUGGCGCAUACAAAGAGAAGCGACCUCGCGAGAGCAAGCGGACCUCAUAAAGUGCGUCGUAGUCCGGAUUGGAGUCUGCAACUCGACUCCAUGAAGUCGGAAUCGCUAGUAAUCGUGGAUCAGAAUGCCACGGUGAAUACGUUCCCGGGCCUUGUACACACCGCCCGUCACACCAUGGGAGUGGGUUGCAAAAGAAGUAGGUAGCUUAACCUUCGGGAGGGCGCUUACCACUUUGUGAUUCAUGACUGGGGUGAAGUCGUAACAAGGUAACCGUAGGGGAACCUGCGGUUGGAUCACCUCCUUACCUUAAAGAAGC